UUCCUACGGGGCGCAGCAGUGAGGAAUAUUGGUCAAUGGGCGGAAGCCUGAACCAGCCAAGUCGCGUGAGGGAAUAAGGCCCUACGGGUCGUAAACCUCUUUUGCCGGGGAGCAAGGGCGGGGACGUGUCCCGGCCCGGAGAGUACCCGGAGAAAAAGCAUCGGCUAACUCCGUGCCAGCAGCCGCGGUAAUACGGAGGAUGCGAGCGUUAUCCGGAUUUAUUGGGUUUAAAGGGUGCGUAGGCGGAUUUUUAAGUCAGCGGUAAAAUGUCCGGGCUCAACCCGGGCCGGCCGUUGAAACUGGGG
rnacentral:rRNA from 1 species